GGACCCGCACAAGUAGUGGAGCAUGUGGUUUAAUUCGAAGAUACGCGCAGAACCUUACCAACACUUGACAUGUUCGUCGCGACUUUAAGAGAUUAAAGUUUUCGGUUCGGCCGGACGAAACACAGGUGCUGCAUGGCUGUCGUCAGCUCGUGUCGUGAGAUGUUGGUUAAGUCCCGCAACGAGCGCAACCCUCACUUUUAGUUGCCAUCAUUUAGUUGGGCACUCUGAAAGAACUGCCAGUGAUAAGCUGGAGGAAGGUGGGGAUGACGUCAAGUCCUCAUGGCCCUUACGUGUUGGGCUACACACGUGCUACAAUGGUAGAGACAGAGGGCAGCCACCUGGGUGACAGGGAGCG
rnacentral:rRNA from 1 species